AUGUGGUUUAAUUCGAUGAUACGCGAGGAACCUUACCUGGGCGUCGAACGUAAGAUGACUGUAGGUGAAAGCUUACAUCUCUUCGGAGCAUUUUACGAGGUGCUGCAUGGUUGUCGUCAGCUCGUGCCGUGAGGUGUCGGGUUAAGUCCCAUAACGAGCGCAACCCCUACCUUUAGUUGCCAUCAGGUUAAGCUGGGGACUCUAAAGGAACUGCCUACGCAAGUAGUGAGGAAGGCGGGGAUGACGUCAAAUCAGCACGGCCCUUACGUCCAGGGCUACACACGUGCUACAAUGGCCGAUACAGAGGGCAGCUACCUGGUGACAGGAUGCAAAUCUCCAAAGUCGGUCUCAGUUCGGAUCGGAGUCUGCAACCCGACUCCGUGAAGUUGGAUUCGCUAGUAAUCGCGCAUCAGCCAUGGCGCGGUGAAUACGUUCCCGGGUCUU
rnacentral:rRNA from 1 species